rfam:Ailuropoda melanoleuca scaffold1097_1, whole genome shotgun sequence.
GCCUAGCUGGCUCAGUUGGUAGAGCAUGCGACUCUUGAUCUUGGGGUCAUGAGUUGGGGCCCCAUGUUGGGCG